rnacentral:rRNA from 1 species
GAUGAACGCUGGCGGCGUGCCUAAUACAUGCAAGUCGAGCGAACAGACGAGAGUGCUUGCUCUCUCUGACGUUAGCCGCGGACGGGUGAGUCACACGUGGGUCACCUACCUAUAAGACUGGGAUAUCUUCGGGAAACCGGAGCUAAUACCGGAUAAUAUUUAGCUUCGCAUGUAGCAAUAGUGAAAGACGGUUCUGCUGUCACUUAUAGAUGGACCCGCGGUGUAUUAGCUAGUUGGUGAGGUAACGGCUCACCAAGGCAACGAUACAUAGCCGACCUGAGAGGGUGAUCGGCCACACUGGAACUGAGACACGGACCAGACUCCUACGGGAGGCAGCAGUAGGGAAUCUUCCGCAAUGGACGAAAGUCUGACGGAGCAAUGCCGCGUGAGUGAAGAAGGUUUUCGGAUCGUAAAACUCUGUUGUAAGGGAAGAACAAGUAUGUAAGUAACUGAACGUACCUUGACGGUACCUUACCAGAAAGCCACGGCUAACUACGUG